rnacentral:rRNA from 1 species
UACGUAGGGGGCAAGCGUUGUCCGGAAUCAUUGGGCGUAAAGCGCGUGUAGGCGGUUCGUACAGUCAGACGUGAAAUUCCUGGGCUCAACCUGGGGGCUGCGUUUGAUACGUGCGGACUUGAGUGCGGAAGAGGGUCGUGGAAUUCCCAGUGUAGAGGUGAAAUUCGUAGAUAUUGGGAAGAACACCGGUGGCGAAGGCGGCGACCUGGUCCGAUACUGACGCUGAGGCGCGAAAGCGUGGGGAGCAAACAGG